UCCAAAGGGAGGGUGUCAAAAUUGGAGAGCAUGGUUUUGAGCCAAUUGGAGAUGUCAGAGGGGUUACACGUUUCCAUGGCUUCUCGAGACGCUCCAACUUCUAUUCCAUCGCUAAAAGCUCGUCCAUCCCUCUACUUAGUUCAUAAGUCACGUCGCACUUUAUUAGAAGUUGAAAGAGAAGGAUCAUCCAUGUUUUGAGAUCUCCAAUGAUGGGGAAAAGGUGUGCAAUGACGCCAACGGAGGAUCUUGACUUGUCUUACAUCAAAUGCGAUGGUGAGGUUGUGCAAGGCAAACUGCUUUGACGCCUAUGCCGUGGAAGAUAUGUGUUGAAGAACCUGUGAAAUUAUGCACUUAUCAACUCAUGCAUUACAAAGUGGGGACAUUAUAUAGAGAGGGGACAUUUAAUCAGAAAUGUAAAAUCAAGAUUCUCAAUUUCUUUUUCUUCUAAUCUACACCAUGUGUGAGACAGAGAAAUUGUUCACAACACUAGCAAACUAUUAUGAUAAUGAUGUAAGUCUCCUUAUUCAACAUAUGCUUUGUAAGAUAUUUUCACAUUGCAAUUAUAUAGUGGGAAUUAGAAAGCAAUUAUAUUUGACCAUUUAUUACAAGUUUCAUUGUAUUUUGUAACUCUUUGCGAAUGUAUGUGAUCCUUAUUUUUCAUUUAGGUAUUCUUUGUUAAUAUGAUAAAAUGCUACAGUUUUAUACCCUUGACGUGAAAUACUAAUUGCGUGGUGAGCAUAGUUGAAAUUUUCACAUCGUCACAUAUGAUAAAAUAGAAGGCAAAAUAUAAUUUUUAAUUGUAUUUGUUAAACUAAAUAUUUUCCUUACAUAAUUCUUUAGGUUGUCAGUCUCGUAAAUGUUGAA